GAAGAAACGGAGAAAAUACAUUAAAAGUAGAUGCAUGCACAUAAACUACAUACAUCCCCCUGCACAGACUCUGUCUCCAUCUAGUGUCCAACUACGUCGGGAGGCAAGAGCUACAGUGACAAAUUUCUCACCAAACAGCCAAUACAGCCAGCAAAUACAGUAGGCCUAAUGAAAGAAACGUGAGUUUGUCGGAGCACCCCAGGGCUUUAUGUCAUGUUCGGAAGAGAGCUCUUCGCAGCCAGUAUGGACAGGAGGAAUAAUCCAGACACCAACAACUCUUUCAACCUACAUAUGGCAUAUUGUUACACCCUUAUUCCCUAACUUCACAUCUUGUUCUCUUGUACCUAUCAGUACUGUACUGGUACACUGUUAGUACAGAAAAUUAC